rnacentral:lncRNA from 1 species
UGUGCUUAAUGAGGCCUCUGAUAUUGUGUGAAUCCUAAAAUUUGUAUUUAAUGCCUUAAGCGCUCUAAUUACAUCACAUGAUAUGUGAACAUUAUGUGUUUUCUGAUAAAGUGAAACUGUUAAAUUAAAAGUAAUAAUUUGUUAUUGCCCUGCGAAGUACAUGAGAAGCAUGUUUGUAAUGGCCCAAUUUCGCCUGGGCCCAGUUUACAAAUAAAUUACAAACCAAAAAAAAAAAACAAAUUACAUCAAACCGAAAAAGCCCAAUUUACAAACCCAAAAUUAACCCAAAACCUAACCAAAUCCUAGCCCACUAUCUUAACAUUUCAAAAAAUCCCAAGCUCUAUCCAUCUUUAGUUGUAGCCGCUACCUCUCCCACGCGCGCCGCUCCUCCACGUCACCACCAUACGGCCUCC